GCCAGGCGUGGUGGCGCACGCCUUUAAUCCCAGCACUCGGGAGGCAGAGGCAGGCGGAUUUCUGAGUUCGAGGCCAGCCUGGUCUACAAAGUGAGUGCCAGGACAGCCAGGGCUACACAGAGAAACCCUGUUUCAAAAAACCCAAAAAAAAAAAAAAAAAAACGGUGGUGUCUCUGGCAUCUUUAGCAAUGACAAAGAACUCUUUUUUUUUUUUUUUGAGACAGGGUUUCACUGUGUAGUCCUAGCUGUACUGGAACUCACUCUGUAGACCAGGCUGGCCUCGAACUCAGAAAUCCACCUGCCUCU
rnacentral:SRP_RNA from 1 species